UACGUAGGUGGCAAGCGUUGUUCGGAAUUACUGGGCGUAAAGCGCGCGUAGGCGGCUCUUCAAGUCAGGCGUGAAAGCCCCGAGCUUAACUCGGGAACUGCGCUUGAUACUGUCGAGCUAGAGUGUGGAAGGGGCGAUUGGAAUUCCGUGUGUAGCGGUGAAAUGCGUAGAUAUACGGAGGAACACCAGAGGCGAAGGCGGAUCGCUGGGCCAACACUGACGCUGAUGUGCGAAAGCUAGGGGAGCAAACGGG
rnacentral:rRNA from 1 species